rnacentral:rRNA from 1 species
GUGGGGAAUAUUGCACAAUGGAGGAAACUCUGAUGCAGCAACGCCGCGUGGAGGACGAAGGUUUUCGGAUUGUAAACUCCUGUCUUUUGGGACGAUAAUGACGGUACCAAAAGAGGAAGCCACGGCUAACUACGUGCCAGCAGCCGCGGUAAUACGUAGGUGGCGAGCGUUGUCCGGAAUUACUGGGCGUAAAGGGCGCGUAGGCGGCCUGUUAAGUCAGAUGUGAAACCCCCAGGCUCAACUUGGGGAUUGCAUAUGAAACUGAUGGGCUCGAGUGUCGGAGAGGAAAGCGGAAUUCCUAGUGUAGCGGUGAAAUGCGUAGAUAUUAGGAGGAACACCAGUGGCGAAGGCGGCUUUCUGGACGAUAACUGACGCUGAGGCGCGAAAGCGUGGGGAGCAAACAGG